UUUCCGUAGGUGAACCUGCGGAAGGAUCAUUAUUGUAUAACCGAGGUGCGAGGGCUGUCGCUGACCCGACAGGUCGUGCACGCCCGAGUGCCCUCACACACAUCCAUCUCACCCCUAUAUGCACCACCGCGUGGGUCCCCCUUUGGCUUGUUCGGAGGGGGGCUUACGUUUUCACACAAACUUUGUAUGCAGUGUAGAAUGUAUUAUUUGUUUUUGCGAUCACGCAAUCAAUACAACUUUCAACAACGGAUCUCUUGGCUCUC
rnacentral:misc_RNA from 1 species